GCCACCGAUUUUUUUAAUGUCUCCACAGUUUUGCCUUUUUUAGAAUGUCAUAAUUGGAAUCAUACAGUAUGUGCCUGUUCAGAUUCGUGUCCCUCAUGUAGCAAUAUACAUUUAAGGUGCUUCUCUUUUAGUGGCAAGAUAGCUCACUAUUUUUUACUGCUGUAUAAUAUUGAACUGAUUCAUCCAGUUAAAGCCAUCUUACGUGCUUUCCGUUUGGGGUAAUUACGAAUACUUCUGCUAUAAACAUUUGCAUGCAGGUUUUUGUGUGGAUGUUUCCUAUUUGGAUAAAUGCCCAGGAAUAGAACUGCUAGAUGAUGUAACUUUAUGUUUAGCAUUGUAAAAACAAAACAAAACAAAAACAAAACA